AAGGUAUUUAAGCUAAGCACUGAAAGCAUCUAAGUGCGAAGCCGGCUCCAAGAUGAGUAUUCCUAGAGGGUUGUAGAAGAUGACUACGUAGAUAGGCUACAGGUGGAAGCGCAGUGAUGUGUGGAGCCGAGUAGUACUAAUUGCCCGAAAGCUUCCCGUG
rnacentral:ncRNA from 1 species